GACGAACGCUGGCGGCGUGCUUAACACAUGCAAGUCGAGCGGUAAGGCCCUUUCGGGGGUACACGAGCGGCGAACGGGUGAGUAACACGUGGGUGACCUGCCCUCAGCUCUGGGAUAAGCCUGGGAAACCGGGUCUAAUACUGGAUAUGACUCCAUGACGCAUGUUGUGGGGUGAAAGCCUUGUGCGGCUGAGGAUGGGCCCGCGGCCUAUCAGCUUGUUGGUGGGGUGANGGCCUACCAAGGCGACGACGGGUAGCCGGCCUGAGAGGGCGACCGGCCACACUGGGACUGAGACACGGCCCAGACUCCUACGGGAGGCAGCAGUGGGGAAUCUUGCGCAAUGGGCGAAAGCCUGACGCAGCGACGCCGCGUGAGGGAUGACGGCCUCGGUGUAAC
rnacentral:rRNA from 1 species